UUUAUCCUAGCUAAUUAGCUAAUAUAUAUAUUUUUUUUAACUAUACUACCGACAAAUCAAAAACUUUACCUUUCUCUUAUCUCAAAUCUCAAAUCUCAAAUUCACUUUCCCAAAUCCAGAAACCCUAAUCCCACUUAAUUCAUCUUCAUUCUCGUUUUGAAGACAAUGAAGAACUGGUUUCUUUCUCUGUCUUGAAGCCCAAAACCCAUUUAUCUUCUUCUUCUUCUGGUUCUUGCUUUGAGAUGGUUACAAGUAGAUUAUGUGGACAUGAGAUUUGAAGACAAGAAAAUGUAUAGCAAUCAUCUUCUGCUCAAAGUUGACAUUUUUUUCUGUGAUCUCUGAGAAUCAAGCAUGGUGGAGCAGCAGAAGAAGAAGAGGUUUGCUCUGUUUCUCACCAAGUGCGACUCUGAGUUCGUGAAGAAGGUUAAUGGUGGCUACUUCAAUAUCUUCAUCUCCACUUGCGGCGAAGACGGUGAGCAAUGGGAUCUCUUCCGAGUGGUAGACGGCUUUUCCUGAUGAGAGUUCAAAAAACAAAUUCAAGAGAGGAUCGAUAUGUGAUGAUAAGACCAGAGCUCGUAGUGAAAUCGAUAGUGGAUGAGUUCGAUUGUGGAUGAGUUCGAUCGUGGAUGAGUUCAAUCAUGGAUGAGUUCGGGAUUUGCCGUGGCUGAGCUUGGGAUCCGUCGUUGCUGAGCUCAGGGUAGCUGCGGUGGAGUUUCAGAGAGUGGAUGAACUUGGUAUUCAGCUACAGUUUCACUGCCUCGAGAACCCUUAAAACUCACCGGACAUUUCAAAUCCACCGUGAGAUAACCUCUUUCCAGAUUUUGUUGGAACUAGUCAACUAUAUCUGAUCGUCGGACAAAUUAAUGCCUUUGGCAUGGUAGAUUUAUCAAAUGAAGGUAGCAGACACGAGAGCCAUGAGUUUUUUCAGUGAUCAGCUUGGUGAUAUGGAUCAAAGUCAGACUGUUGAAUGCGAGUCUAGUGUGAAUGAGGAGGCCACCCAACAUGUUUCUGAUGUUGAAAACAGUUCGACUCUUGGUAGUGUGGUAGAUGUGGCUCCCACUAUCAUGCCACUGAAGCAACUAGAAGCGAGAUAAAUAUUUGUCCAGAUUGCAGGGAGGAACACAAUUUUGUGGAAACAAUCCCCCUGGAACAACAAGAGCUCUUGAUGAAAACUCCCUGAAACAGCCUCAAGAGAUCUUUGAUGAAAAAGAGUCUUUUGUUGAGACAAUUCCUGUCAUAGAUUUGUACCUCCAUCAUUUGUUUGGUUUUAAGGGUAUGCGGCUGCAAGAUAUGACUGCUAGGGAACUCCAAACUAUUGCCAAGGUAACAAUCUGAUUUUUAGUUCAUGUCAAUCUCACUUGUUAGAUGUUUCUUGUACUCUUUUUUGCUUUGUAUUUAAUGAAUAUUGAUGAUAUAACUCUUUCUUUAAUGGAAUACC